CGCAGAGCUGUAGCGGACGCGGGGCUGUGACAGACGCGGGGCUAUAAUGGACGCGGGGGCCGUGAAAUUUGCGGGCCACAACAGCAGACGAUAGGGAAAAACGAUAGAAAUAGAGACGACGGGGUACCCGAGGAGGAUUUUGGGAUAGGCCACGCUGAAUGCGACGGUAGACGGGGGGAAAGACGGGAGACGUUGGGCUGGCGGACUCACAGAUUUCAUGACGAAAGUUGCGGUAGCGGAGCGCUCGUUUGUGGUGCAGGAAUGUACGAACUGAAUAAAAACGGGAGACUUCCAACUGGAUUCCGAUCACACGUCCAACUGGAUGAAAUCCAUGUAAUUUUCACGCCAAUUUUGCGCUGAUCGCUUUCACUGUGCCAACGGCUGCACUCCUUCCGCAACCAGCAAGAUCUGCAGCAAACACUUUCGUCCAGCGGAUAUCCCACGUUUCUGCACGCACGCUCAGUGUAAACUGAGAA